GAACAUUCUAACCAGAGGACUGGUCCAGCACUUCUGUUACCUCGGGGUCUCAGAGAGGGAAUUCUUCCAGGUAAGAGCAUCUGGACCCACAAGAAAGAACUCUCAUCCGACCUGACAGGGGUGCCACCUUGAUCCUGGACAUCCAGCCUCGGGGACUCAGCAUGG
ensembl:lncRNA